rnacentral:rRNA from 1 species
GACGCGGCGGCGUGCUUAACACAUGCACGUCGAACGGAAUCCAUGGUGUAGCAAUACACCGGAAGAUUUAGUGGCGAACGGGUGAGGAUCACGUGAGAAACGUGCCCCAGACUCUGGGAUAACAAUUGGAAACGAUUGCUAAUACCGGAUGACGUCGGAGAAUCGCAUGAUUCACUGACGAAAGAUAUUUCGGUUUGGGAGCGUCUCGCGGCCUAUCAGCUUGUUGGUGGGGUAAUGGCCUACCAAGGCAACGACGGGUAGCUGGUCUGAGAGGAUGAUCAGCCGCACUGGGACUGAGACACGGCCCAGACUCCUACGGGAGGCAGCAGUGGGGAAUCUUGCGCAAUGGGCGAAAGCCUGACGCAGCAACGCCGCGUGCGGGAUGAAGGCCUUCGGGCUGUAAACCGCUUUCAGCA